AAGAAAUUUAAGGAUUGCGGUCAUAUUCCACAGAUGAUGUGGGAUAAAAUGUUAAAAGGGAAGCCGGUGAAAGACCGGCACAGUCACCUCUACUGUAACGUGGACGAAGAAACAGGAUGCCAUUGAUAUUGAAAAAUAUUGAGAAGGCGUUUCUGAGGAUGAAGCGAAGUCAGGAUACCUGCCGUAAUGCCCAGCUUACU
rnacentral:ncRNA from 2 species